UACGAAGGGGGCUAGCGUUGUUCGGAUUUACUGGGCGUAAAGCGCACGUAGGCGGAUCGUUAAGUCGGGGGUGAAAUCCUGGAGCUCAACUCCAGAACUGCCUUUAAUACUGCCAGUCUCGAGUCCGGAAGAGGUAAGUGGAACUCCUAGUGUAGAGGUGGAAUUCGUAGAUAUUAGGAAGAACACCAGUGGCGAAGGCGGCUUACUGGUCCGGUACUGACGCUGAGGUGCGAAAGCGUGGGGAGCAAACAGG
rnacentral:rRNA from 1 species